rnacentral:rRNA from 1 species
CACUCCUGCGGGAGGCAGCAGUGGGGAAUUUUGGACAAUGGGCGAAAGCCUGAUCCAGCAAUGCCGCGUGAGUGAAGAAGGCCUUCGGGUUGUAAAGCUCUUUUGUCAGGGAAGAAACGGUGAAAGCUAAUAUCUUUUGCUAAUGACGGUACCUGAAGAAUAAGCACCGGCUAACUACGUGCCAGCAGCCGCGGUAAUACGUAGGGUGCAAGCGUUAAUCGGAAUUACUGGGCGUAAAGCGUGCGCAGGCGGUUUUGUAAGUCUGAUGUGAAAUCCCCGGGCUCAACCUGGGAAUUGCAUUGGAGACUGCAAGGCUAGAAUCUGGCAGAGGGGGGUAGAAUUCCACGUGUAGCAGUGAAAUGCGUAGAUAUGUGGAGGAACACCGAUGGCGAAGGCAGCCCCCUGGGUCAAGAUUGACGCUCAUGCACGAAAGCGUGGGGAGCAAACAGGAUUAGAUACCCUUGUAGUCCCAUGA